AAAAACAUGAUUCCCUANUACUGCGAGUGAAGAGGGACAAGCUCAAAUUUUAAAUCUAUCGGGUUUUACCUGAUCGAGUUGUAAUUUGAAGAAGCGUUUUCUGCGUAUUUGGUCAGCCUAAGUCCUAUUGAAUGAGGCAUCAUGGAGGGUGAUAAUCCCGUCCGGUUGAUCAUUUGCGUUUUACGAUACGCUUUCUAAGAGUCAAGUUGUUUGGGAUUGCAGCUUAAAAUGGGAGGUAAAUUCCUCCUAAGGCUAAAUAACGGCGAGAGACCGAUAGCGAACAAGUACCGUGAGGGAAAGAUGAAAAGAACUUCGAAAAGAGAGUUAAACAGUACGUGAAAUUGUUGAAAGGGAAACGAUUGAAGCCAGUCGUACCUUCGGGUAAUCAGCCUUUCGGGUGCGAUUCUGUGGAGUGUGAGGAGCUUAAACACCUUCAUGUUUUGCAUAUUCGUACUCUUGGGUGUACUUGCCCGUGUGGUUGGUUAACAUCAAUUUUGGUGGUCAUAAAAUGACUGGAGGAAUGUAGCUUCGAUCUUGUAUUGAAGUGUUAUAGCCUUCGGUAGAUGUGAUGAUCGAGAUUGAGGAUUGCAACGGAUACCCUUCGGGGCUACCUGUCUGGUCUCUGAUCGUUGCUCUGGUGCCGAAAGCUUGCUUACGGUUAUCAAAGUCGAUGGUCAAUAGGUUAGAAUGGGUUAAAUUCGUUAAGGAUGUUGACGUA
rnacentral:rRNA from 1 species